CAGCCGCCACGGUAAAACGUAGGUGGCAAGCGUUGUCCGGAAUUAUUGGGCGUAAAGCGCGCGCAGGCGGAUAGGUCAGUCUGUCUUAAAAGUUCGGGGCUUAACCCCGUGAUGGGAUGGAAACUGCCAAUCUAGAGUAUCGGAGAGGAAAGUGGAAUUCCUAGUGUAGCGGUGAAAUGCGCAGAUAUUAGGAAGAACACCAGUGGCGAAGGCGACUUUCCGGACGAAAACUGACGCUGAGGCGCGAAAGCCAGGGGAGCGAACGGGAUUAGAUACCCCCGUAGUCCCUGUCUCUUAUACC
rnacentral:rRNA from 1 species